rnacentral:rRNA from 1 species
AGCGAACGCUAGCGGGUGGCUUAACACAUGCAAGUCGUGCGAGAAUCUUCGGAUUCUAGCGGCGGACGGGUGAGUAACACGUAGGAUAUCUACCUCGAGGUGGGGGAUAGCCGGGGGAAACCCCGAUUAAUACCGCAUAUGGCCUAUGGGUCAAAGCCUUCGGGCGCCUUGAGAUGAGCCUGCGGCCCAUUAUUUAAUCCUAGUUGGUGGGGUAACGGCCUACCAAGGGUACGAUGGGUAGCUGGUCUGAGAGGACGAUCAGCCACACUGGGACUGAGACACGGCCCAG